AAGCACAUAAGCGGGGAGCAGGUGUUUAGCCUAGCGGUUAAGACACCACAUCCCACAUCGGAGUGCCUGGGUUCAGUUCUCAGUUCCUGACUCCAGCCUCCUGCCAGUGCCGACCCUGGGAAACAGUGGUGAUGGUUCUAGCAGUUGGGUCCCGGCCACCCAUGUGGAAGACCUGGAUUGCAUUCCCGGCCCUGGCCCAGCCCAGACCAAUAGCUACUGGACGUUCAGCCUGCGCCUUCCUCGAGGCUUGUCUCUGCUGUGCCCCAGCCUCUGAGAGAGGCCACCUGCUCCAGCGUUGCCCAUCAGGUGCCAAGAAAACCUGGCCCCUUCCGGCUGGGGGGAAAAAAAAAAUCAUGGAAGAGGGCGGAGCCUGAGAAGAACACGCCCCUGGCUCCUCCCCCUCGACAACACAGCACUGGUCCCCCCCACCCCGGGUGCAGCGACAAGGAACCAUCCUGGAAGCAGAUAGCAAGCCUUCACUGGACUCUAAAUCUGUGAGCACCUUGACCUUGGACUUUCCAGCCUGCAGAAUUCAGGAAUGGACCAAGACAAGCCCUCAAGAGAAGGAUCCUAUGGAGUAUGAUUCAAAUACAGGGUUCUGGCCAUCUCCUAAGGGUCCUCGCAGCCUGAACCCAGGUAGAAAAGUCAUGGCGUGGCCCCGUCAUCCACAGAAGUGGGGUUCCCUAGGGCAGGAUGAGCAUCAGGAGCCUAGGGGGACCUAGGGACAGGCCAGGCCAUGCUAGUGACCGGGCAGUGUCCAGCAGCUGUGAGACCCGGAGCAGCUGUGGGCAUGUCUGUGGUUCUCAGGUGCUUCCAGGGACAAAAAAUUGGCCGUAGAGGCCCCAUCAGCCUCACCACUGCUGCGCCCCUACCGCGAUAGGGACCCUGACUCUGCGAUCCGGCUGUUCUGUUUCCCAGUUGAAACCUACCGAGUGCACCAGACUGCAGGCCUGUGGCAGAGGGGGAGCAAUCCUCUUUGCCGCUGUAUUCGCAGCCCCUAGAACCGAGCAAACAGGGGCGCUCAUGAAUUCAUGCUGAACGGGUCAAUAAAAGUGGUCUCCCGACUGGG